rnacentral:rRNA from 1 species
GACGUAGGGCGCGAGCGUUGUCCGGAAUUAUUGGGCGUAAAGAGCUCGUAGGCGGUCUGUCGCGUCUGCUGUGAAAACUCAGGGCUUAACCCUGAGCUUGCAGUGGGUACGGGCAGACUAGAGUGCGGUAGGGGAGACUGGAAUUCCUGGUGUAGCGGUGAAAUGCGCAGAUAUCAGGAAGAACACCCGUGGCGAAGGCGGCUCUCUGGGACGGUACUGACGCUGAGACGCGAAAGCAUGGGGAGCGAACAGG